rnacentral:rRNA from 1 species
AUUGAACGCUGGCGGCAUGCUUUACACAUGCAAGUCGAACGGUAACAGGCCGCAAGGUGCUGACGAGUGGCGAACGGGUGAGUAAUGCAUCGGAACGUGCCCAGUCGUGGGGGAUAACUACUCGAAAGAGUAGCUAAUACCGCAUACGAUCUAUGGAUGAAAGCGGGGGACCGUAAGGCCUCGCGCGAUUGGAGCGGCCGAUGUCAGAUUAGGUAGUUGGUGGGGUAAAGGCUCACCAAGCCAACGAUCUGUAGCUGGUCUGAGAGGACGACCAGCCACACUGGGACUGAGACACGGCCCAGACUCCUACGGGAGGCAGCAGUGGGGAAUUUUGGACAAUGGGCGCAAGCCUGAUCCAGCAAUGCCGCGUGCAGGAAGAAGGCCUUCGUGUUGUAAACUGCUUUUGUACGGAACGAAACGCUCUGGUUAAUACCCGGGGCUAAUGACGGUACCGUAAGAAUAAGCACCGGCUAACUACGUG